rnacentral:rRNA from 1 species
AGUGAACGCUGGCGGUAGGCCUAACACAUGCAAGUCGAACGGCAGCACAGUAAGAGCUUGCUCUUACGGGUGGCGAGUGGCGGACGGGUGAGGAAUACAUCGGAAUCUACUUUUUCGUGGGGGAUAACGUAGGGAAACUUACGCUAAUACCGCAUACGACCUACGGGUGAAAGCAGGGGAUCUUCGGACCUUGCGCGAUUGAAUGAGCCGAUGUCGGAUUAGCUAGUUGGCGGGGUAAAGGCCCACCAAGGCGACGAUCCGUAGCUGUUCUGAGAGGAUAAGCAGCCACACAGGGAAAGAGACACGGGGCAGACUCCUACGGGAGGCAGAAGUGGGGGAAAUUUGACAAAAGGCGCAAGCCUGAGAUAGACACACCGCGUGGGUGAAAAAGGGCUUCGGGUUGUAAAAACCUUUUGUGGGGGAAGAAAAGAAGAAGGUUAAAACCCCCCGGUUCUGACGGGACACAAAGAAUAAAAACCGGCUAAAUUCGUG